GCUUUCGUAGUGUGACGGUUAGCACACUCGGCUCGUAUUCGAGAAGUCCAGGCUCGAGUCCCGGCAAAGACA
rnacentral:tRNA from 1 species